CGCUGUGGCUGUCUGAGUCUCCUCUCCGAAGAACAGGUCGUGGCAGACACCAACAUCAGCGCCAUAGCGACUCAGCUUGAAAUGAUGUCUGCAGGCUCCCAGCUUGGCUCUCCCACUGCUGACCGACAUCCGCAAGACCCGGAGGAGCUGUUGCAGAGGACCGCCGAUUAAAGCGAGGUGGGCAGCUCUUCAGUGGUGUUACCCGGAAGGCGUUACCCGGAAGGCGUUACCCAUGAGCAAGCUGUCUCCAUUCUAAAGCAGCAGAGAGGGGCCGUGGCCCUGCCUGCUGCUGCCGCCGUGAGCUACGGGUCCUGACUUUUUAACGAGAAUACAGCAGAAUUAUGCGGCUUCCGGUUGGGAUGAAAAGUUGCCUCGGCUCAAACCCAGUAUCAUCAUUGGCUCUGAUUCUGUUUACAGAAACUGGAGCUGUGGUCUCUGCUUCCUACUCACAUCCCCGGUUCCCACAGAGGCUUAACUGCAAACUCCUGUGGUUUCAUCUAAUGAGUAGAAACAAAGGUUUAGCUUGUCAUCUUAACUCGUGAUUUACUUAUGCUAAUUUGCCUCUUCAAAUAAACCAGAAAACAUUAGCAGUGUAAUUAAC
rnacentral:lncRNA from 1 species